rnacentral:rRNA from 1 species
AGUGAACGCUGGCGGCAGGCCUAACACAUGCCAGUCGAGCGGAUGAAGGGAGCUUGCUCCUGGAUUCAGCGGCGGACGGGUGAGUAAUGCCUAGGAAUCUGCCUGGUAGUGGGGGAUAACGUCCGGAAACGGGCGCUAAUACCGCAUACGUCCUGAGGGAGAAAGUGGGGGAUCUUCGGACCUCACGCUAUCAGAUGAGCCUAGGUCGGAUUAGCUAGUUGGUGGGGUAAAGGCCUACCAAGGCGACGAUCCGUAACUGGUCUGAGAGGAUGAUCAGUCACACUGGAACUGAGACACGGUCCAGACUCCUACGGGAGGCAGCAGUGGGGAAUAUUGGACAAUGGGCGAAAGCCUGAUCCAGCCAUGCCGCGUGUGUGAAGAAGGUCUUCGGAUUGUAAAGCACUUUAAGUUGGGAGGAAGGGCAGUAAGUUAAUACCUUGCUGUUUUGACGUUACCAACAGAAUAAGCACCGGCUAACUUCGUG